CAGUACAGAAGGAGUUGCUGGGCUGAGAGGAUACACGAGGAAGACGUCCCCAUCGUGAGCUGUUCUUCGUACUGCAUUGGGUGGUAUUGUGAAAGUUGGUGGCCAGGGUCUCCGGACGGUCUUUGAAGUAUCUGGGGCCCCCCCCCCCCCCCCCUAUGCAUGCAUGCCGCGCAACCCCCCAGACGGCUGGUAGAUACCCAAUUCUUUCAAGGAGGCCCAACAACGGAGCUGAGGGUGUCUGAAAGAGCCCACCUUUCCACCCGAUGGCACGGGAUAGGUCUCUGAACCCACGCCCUAGCAACCCGCCGAAGCGCAAGGCAGAGAGACUACAACGGGAGCCCCCAACACGUGGAAGUUUUAAGAUUUUGGGAGCAUUUUUUUAAAGAUUGACUUAGCUUUGUUUUAAGAUUGAAUUUUAGUUUCAUUCUUUCCACAAUUUUUUUUUCUAUAUUAAAAGAUAGUUUAAGCAUCUAUAUAAAGUUUUAUUAACUAGAUGGAAGCCAUAAACCUCCAGAUGCUAAAAACUGAGGGUUUGCCAAACGUGUCUGGUUGUAACGAUUCCCUAAACGUUAGUAAGAAUUCCCUGAGCUUUAUGGGAGCUGGACACUAAGAGUGAAGAGCUUGGUUAACACCCUCAAAUGGUUUAACUGCAGGUGCAAGAGUGAUUAGCAGUAGUUUGUUUCAUUUCGGUAAUUUGUGGCUGUACCUAGAUUAUAUUAGUGCAUAUACGCUUUUCUGCCAUAAUUGUUGCAGCCCAAAUUUACUGUUCUGUACUGGUUGGUAUGUAGUACACUAUUAAAAAAAAAUACUACUUUUUAUUAAUACUAAUAAUAUAACUAAUACUUAAGGUGUUGGAAAGGUACUUUGAAAACCAGUUUGUAAGUUUUAUUAAUGUAUAGAAUUACAGAUCCUGUAGUCAUAGUAAUUCAACAGAAGUUGAGCAGACUCCUGGGGAAAAGAUCUUCAUUAUUUGGUGUGGCACAGGACCAUCUUGCAGGUGCAGUGCUUGGCAGUUUGGCUCUUCUGUAUUGGUUGUGAAAAAAAUAGACAUUGUGACUUUGAAUUCUGUUGUUGAAUGCAUGGUGUGGAUAUGGUGGAAAAGGGUGGGUGCUGAUGGUGGGUGACUGUACUACACAGCAGGAUUAAAAGACAAUGGUGGGAAAUCUGAAUUAAAUUUAUUAAUUUAGUUGGUAAAGUGGGGGAGUGUGGGAGGGGGGCUUGUCCUUCCAACCAGGUGGUUCUGGACAGUGAUCUCUUGCAUGACCUUUGCCAACAAUCCUCUGCAUCCUCACUGAUCUCUGAUCAAGGACUGGUGUAAUGAUUUCAUGGCAUCAAAUUCUGUUUCCAUGAAGUAUAUACUUGUCCAAAUCCCCAAAGCCCCUAUUAGCCCUGUGUAAUAUUAUAAAAUGCCAUCCUCUUGGUCUAAUCUCUCCUCUUAGAUUACCUGUCUUCUCCCCUUUUAGAUUAGAUAUAGCUGCAGCAAUUGUUAUGGGCAACCCAAGAUGUUAAGGCCUGUCCACAAGACCUAGCAGUGCCCUUGAGCACAGGCGAGUGCUCUGCCUGUUGAUAGGCUUACAGCUUGUGCCUGCUGAAUACCUAGUAGGUUUUAUGGGAGCACAAGGGGUAAGCCUGUUGAGACAGGAGGCUUGCCUGUGCUUGAGGGCACUGAUGGAUGGUGUGGACAGGCCUUGAUGAGUAACUCAGGAUGUGCAUUGUAUUAU